UGAUUCUCGUCAGAUUGCACUCUAAGGGCAAUACCAAAAAGGAAACCUUUCUUUAUCCAAAACUAGCAUAUUUUUUUGUUGGUCCAAAAUUGGUAAAAAUUAAAUGCACUCAUCUCUCCUCCUCUCCAACACAUCCCACGGAAAUUUCACUCUCAAACACACUCCUCCAGCUCUUUCUUCUUCCUCACACAAAAAACACACACCCAAGAAACCCCAUUUCAAAGUUCAACUCCAUUCAAGACAAUAAACCCACACUACUACUACUUCAACUCAACCCAAUCUUCCAUUUUUUUUAAGCUCUUGUGCAAAAACGAAAAUAACAUUAUACCAUUCAACUCAAGCAAUGUCCAGCCCCAAUAACAACAUCAAACUCUGGUUCUAAAUUAUUUUCAAACAUCAAAAAUAUAGAAGAAAAGAGCCAAACUCACAACACCCACACAACACCUUAAGCUCUCUUUAACUCAAAACUCACAUAGAACCCCAUUUUCAUCAACCAACCAACCAAAACACAAAGAAAAACGUGAGGAACAACAUUAAAGGAGAGGAAAAACGAAAAUCUAAAGUCACUCAAACCCAACAAUCACCAUGGAAAUGCAAAGAAAAGCUUAAAAGCUCAAGUUUCAAACAUCAAAAACAAGCAAAUGGAAGAAGGAAUGGAUGGAUUAUCACCACCAAUGAGUUAAGACAGCCAAGAGUGAGUCAAGGGAAGAAGAAAAUCUGCAUAACAUUCAUUGAAAAGGGUCCAAAACCGUGGCACCAAGCAAGCAUCCAUGAGAGCAUGUUCAAACAAGAGAAACCCUAGGAGAAUGAAACCAAAAAUAUGAAAGAUGGAAGUGUUGUUGUGUGGCUCGAUUUUCUCCUCUAUUUGGAGCAAGAGUUUUAAGUUUUGGUGGGGUACACACACUACAAGUCAGCCCUAAAGGGAUGCCACAUGGCCCCGACAAUUGAUUUUUACAAAAAUGCCCCUAAAGGGGUCUAAAACACCUAAUUCUAAUUAAGGGCUUCUAGAAAACGAAAUUACAACUUAAUUAAAUAGGAAAUGACUAAAUGUUGAGUCUUGAAUGAUCACGCCACCUUCCCUAAUGCUCCAAAUGAUGUUUCCCAAAAUUUCCCUGCAACCAAAAUACACUUAAUCAGCUCAGAAAACCCAAAUUAGCACAAUUACGAAUUUCUGACCAAAUUAAGAAGAAUUCAGAAAACGAGGAAAUAACAGACAAUUAAACACAAUUCCCUGGUUUAAUUAAGUGCAAUAAACUAAAUAUAGUUCAUGAAAUAACCACUCAUCACAGACUCUCUAGCUAUUCUGCACUCUAAUGGGGAUA
rnacentral:lncRNA from 1 species